ensembl:lncRNA
UAAAUACUAAUAUGGUAAAUACUAAUAAUUUACCAUCCCAACCGAAUACUCCACUUGAAACUAAAACGUCGUCAUUUACACUAAAAAAAAAAAGUGUGGACAAAAUAGUAAAAGGUAAAAGUAAAAAAAAUAACUUAGAUGACUAUAACAUUUUUCAAAAUCAAAAAAAUUAUAUUGAUGCAAACUAUUUAUUGAUAGCUUGGGAAAUAGCUAAUUUUUAUUUUUCUAUUUUAUAUUACAAAUUAGAAUUAAAAAAAAUAUUAGUGGAGAUGUUAAAAUGGUUGAAUUUUUUUAAAAAAAUUGAUAAGAAAAAGAAAAAGGGUGCUUACGAGUUAUUUAAAUUCCGUUGUGCAUUUUAUUUUAUACAUAUAUUAAUUUUUAUGAAUAAAUAUAGUUAUGCUAAAAAAAUGAUUAAACAUGCUUCGAAUGAUUGUUUUGAUAGUAAUAUGUUAUAUAUUGAUAAAAAAAAAGAAGAGUGUGAAAAUGUGAAUAUUACUACUGUUACAAAUAAUACCGAUACUGUUUAUCCUUCACAUGACGUUAUUAGUAUAAGUGAUGAUGAUAGUGUUGAAACUAAUAAUAAAACAGAUAUUAUUUUUUUAAAUAAUGUAGAUAGAGAGUUACCAAAACCAAUGGAUGGUGAUAUAUUAAAAAAUAAUAUACCAAAACAAUCGAUAAAAGAAACAAAUAUAAUAACUAAUGUGAAAAAAGUACAUAAAUUAAUAAUUAAUCAUUCAAAAGAUUUAUCUAACAUUCUAACAAUAUCAGAAAAAAACAAAAUGCUACACUCACAUAUAAUUAACAAAUGUUAUUUAUAUGAGAAAUGGACAAAUCACAUGAUUAUAAAAUAUAAUAAUGUAAUUACAUAUUUAUUAAAAAAAAAAAAUAUUGUAAAAUUAAUACUAUUCAAUAAAAGUAAUAUAUCAAUACUUAUGAAAAAUAAGAAAGAUAAAAAAAUAAUAAAAAAAGUGAUCAAUUAUAUGAAUAAGUUAGAAAUUAUAUUAUUAAAUCUUUAUUAUUUAUGUAUUAAAUUGUAUAAAAAUUAUUAUUACCAUGCUUCUAUAUUACAUUGUAAUACAGCAAAACAAAUAUAUUAUGCAUCUAAAUAUUUAAAUAUACAUAUAAAACCAAAAAAAUAUAUGCAAACUUAUGUUACUUUCGAUUGGGAACAAAGUCAUAACAAUAACACUAGUAAUCAUCCCAAUGAUAAUUCAACUACCUAUGACGAUAUCAAUUCAAAUAAAUUAACAAAAAGUUUUUCUUCAUUACAUUUACCUAACCACAUGUUAUAUAAAAUGGCUAAUGGUUAUGUAGAAGAAGAAACUCAUCACAUGGAUACAAUUAAAGGAGAAACAUCGUUCGAAAUGGAUAAAUCUUAUUUAAAAAAAAACACAACCGAUUAUCUUACCAAAAAAAUAUCACCAUAUAAUAAUAAUAAUAAUAAUAAUCACACAUUUUAUAUAAAAGGUACAUACAAUAACAACAAUACAGAUCCCAAUAAUUAUUGCAAUAUUCCCAACUCAAUGAACAAUACGUUACAUUUUUCAAAUAUACAUUCAUCAGGAUUUGUAAAAAAAAAAAAUAACCACAACAAUGACAAUAAUGAUAUGUUUUUUCUACAUGCCCUUGUUUUGAGUAUACAAGUCCAAUAUACAUUAUCCAUAAAUAUAAUGAUUUGUUCUGAACUUUUUAUGUUUCGAAAAAAAUUAAACAAACUGAAAAGAAAAAAUAGAGCUAUGAAACGUGAAGUAAAACUUAGGAAGAGUAAUAAGGCAAACAUGUUAUUGAAAAUUAAAAAAGAAAAAAAUAGAAAAUGUAGGGACAGUGACAAUGGUAUUAACAACAGUGGGGACAGUGACAAUGGUAUUAGCAUCAAUGAGGAUAGUGGCAGUGGUAUUAGCAACAGUGGGGACAGU